rnacentral:tRNA from 1 species
GGGUGUAUAGCUCAACCGGUAGAGCAUUGGGCUUUUAACCUAAUUGUAGCAGGUUCGAGUCCUGCUAUACCCA